rnacentral:rRNA from 1 species
CCUACGGGUGGCAGCAGUGAGGAAUAUUGGUCAAUGGACGCAAGCCUGAACCAGCCAUGCCGCGUGCAGGAAGACGGCUCUAUGAGUUGUAAACUGCUUUUGUACGAGGGUAAACGCAGAUACGCGUAUCUGUCUGACAGUAUCGUACGAAUAAGGAUCGGCUACCUCCGUGCCAGCAGCCGCGGUAAUACGGAGGCUUCAAGCGUUAUCCGGAUUUAUUGGGUUUAAAGGGUGCGUAGGCGGGCGGAUAAGUUAGAGGUGAAAUCCCGAGGCUCAACUUCGGAAUUGCCUCUGAUACUGUUCGGCUAGAGAGGAGGAGAGGUAGGCGGAAUGUAUGGUGUAGCGGUGAAAUGCUUAGAGAUCAUGAAGAACACCGAUUGCGAAGGCAGCCUACUAAGCUACUUCGGACGUUGAGGCACGAAAGCGUGGGGAGCAAACAGGAUUAGAUACCCUUGUAGUC